UUAUUCGCUUAAUCUAUUUGAGCGGGGGAACCAUAUUUGAUAGAUAUAAUCUAUCUGGGGUGAAUCUUACCUGAGUAAGAAGGGAUACUCUCCGUCCCUAAUCCGACAGCUAACCUCGUAGGCGUUGAAUA
rnacentral:sRNA from 1 species